rnacentral:rRNA from 1 species
UCAGACGAUGCGUCAUGCAUAUCAAUAAGCGGAGGAAAAGAAACUAACAAGGAUUCCCCUAGUAACGGCGGGUGAAGCGGGAAGAGCUCAAAUUUGAAAUCUUAAAGGGUUUCCCUUUACGAAUUGUAGUUUAAAGAAGUGUUUUCUGUUGAGGUUUUGGUAAAAGUUCUUUGGAAUAGGACAUCAUAGAGGGUGAGAAUCCCGUAUUUGACCUUUACUUUCAACUUUGUGAUACACUUUCAAAGAGUCGGAUUGUUUGGGAAUGCAGUCCAAAAUGGGUGGUAAAUUUCAUCUAAAGCUAAAUAUCGGCGAGAGACCGAUAGCGAACAAGUACCGUGAGGGAAAGAUGAAAAGAACUUUGAAAAGAGAGUUAAACAGUACGUGAAAUUGUCAAAAGGGAAGCGUUUGACACCAGUGUUGUUUUUCUGAAAAUCAAUUAAAGAACUGUUUAUGCUAAGCUGUUUAGACUUUAUCAGCUAUCUGUUUAGUUUUGAGCUUUUCUUUAAUGCACUUUUCAGUUAACAAGUCAACAUCAAUUUCUUUUGCUGUAAAAAAGCUUGAGGAAGGUGGCUUGAGAUUCGUCUUAAGUGUUUAUAGCCUCUUGCCUAUGCAGUCGGAGAGAUUGAGGUCUGCAGCGUAGAUCCUUCGGGGCUAAAUGCAUUUGUGCUAAGUUAUAGCAUUUUAUAGACAACUUGUUGACUAUGAUUUGUCUUGUAGCUUACUCGCUUAUGUUAUUUUACCUACGCUUAGGAUGUUGACACACGCGCGUGCUCG